rnacentral:lncRNA from 10 species
AAAUUUGAGAAACAGUGUCCUGAAGCAGUUCUCCUUCACUGGGAACAGACAGAUGAUGAUGAGAACAAAAGAUGUGACCUCAGGGAACCUAGGAAGCCAGAAACCCACACCAAGGGGCCUGGCCUGUUAGUUCCUACCACCCAACCAGGAAGGAAUGAGGGUCAGUCGGGAGCAGACGGGUACCAGCCUCUCCGACCUCCGCCAGAGAUAAGUUGCUUGGGGUCAGGACCAGCCAUUUCCUAGUGAUGCUGGUUUCCAACAUAAACACUCCUUUAAGGAAUCCAGCAUUUUUUCUAGCACCUCUUGAGACUGAAAGAGAUGCAUGUGAGACUCUGAAGGAGAAGGUGAGGAGCCGGUGGGGGCAGUGAAAACUUUCACAUGGGACUCAAGAGAAGUGGAAAGAAGUUUGUAAAAGGAGCCAGGCGACCUCUGACUGUUACCCCUCAGAGUCUUGGAUCCUACAUCUGUAAAAUGGGAGUGAUGAGACGUUCCUCGUGGCACAGAGCUGAAGAGCAGGUCCCAAGUCCUUCUUCUGUGCUAAGGACUGCAACAUGUGUGGGAUGCAGAGAUGCAUUUAAUAAACAUUUAUUGAGCAUGUACUAUGUGCUGGGCACUGUUUAAAGCUGUGGGAAUAUAUUCAUGAAUUAAAAACCGGGCCAAAAUACCCAUCCACUCUAGUAUAAAGAAAAUAGAGUUGCUGUCCUCGAGGAGUUUAGAAACAGAGAUGGGUAAACGAAUCAUAGCAUAAGGUGUCACAGGUGCAAGGAGCAGAGAAGGAAAAAGGCAACAGGCAUGGGGAUAGGUGGGCGGGGUUUCAAGAGAAGCGUCAUAAAGGAGGUCACAUCUAAGCUGAAGUGAGGGGCUGUCAAAUCCUCACCUGCACUAUACACAGAGAUGCUUGGGAAAGAUGCUGGGCUUUGGCUAAUAGUGGAAUUCUCAACUCAUAAAAGGGAAGUUUCAAAGUUGGGGACUUGUGCUGCCAUAACAGAUGAAUUUCUGUGUUAACUUGAGGAGAUAAUAAAAAUUUUAAUUAAACAUCUGCUGGGUUACAAAAGGCAGCCUCAUGAAAAAG